UUAACAGCCUCUAUUAUUGAAACAGUUAUAGAUCAAUUAUUGUAGCAGUUGUAGAUGCUUCACUGUUCUCAAUCCUCUGUAAAACUGAAUUUUUUUCUCACCAACUGCAUUGUCGUAGCAGGUUUUAGAUCACCCACCGUUGUCGAACCUUUGUUCUAAUGUGUACAUUGUGUCCCAUUGAUCUACUCCAUAUAUGAAAAUGACAACUAUCUAUGGCAAAACCAAGUUAAAGGCAAUUACCAUUGAUCUGCUUCAGCUGCUUUUUAAGUUUCCAUCAACAUCUACCUCCGGCAAAACAAUGAUUUGGAUUGUUUCACUCACAAUUCCAUUGAUUGAAGAUAAUGUAACCGGAACAAAUCAUCAACUACCUCUGGAAGGGAUUGUUGCGCUCACCAUCCUGCGAAUGAAUAUAAUGAUAACAAGAACAAAUCUUCAACUAUCUCUGGAAAUAGUAAUGAAGGCUACAUUUGACCUAUAUGCAAAAAUUAUAACAAGUCAAUAUGCUUUAAAAUAGGUUUAUUUCAAGGCAAAAAAUAGAUUUCAAAAAGAGAUAUCAUAGUAAUUCGUAAUAUCAUAUGCUGGGAAAUCUGAAAAGCUCAGUGCUCAAGCAGGUAAGAUAAAGUGUCUGGCCUAAUUUAUAAUACUUUUAGCAUCUUAGGUGGACAAUCUUAAAAAUUAAUUACAACCCACAUUGAAAGUGGCACUGGAAUGGACAUAGCAGGCAGAUCAUGCAGUUGCACACAAAAUUGAAUGCAUCAUAGUGAGGAGAUAGGAGCCCGAGGGAUUAUUAGAGAUCACAGUGGAAAACUCAUUUAUGCAUUUUUUAAAAAUCCGUAUAGGAGUAGCAGCAAUCUAAGAAAAGCAUUUGUGGCAAAAUUAGGCAUGCAAUGGUGUAUUUCUCAAGAUUUUCAAAACAUAAUCCUUGACUGUGAUUCCUUUGUUAUUAUUAUCAAUGUGCCCACAAACAAUAUAAGCAUCACAUGUCCACUUCAAGGUUCCAUAGAGGAUAUGAAACAGAUGUUCUGUCAGACAAAUGAUAUGAUCCAACAUUGUUAUAGAGAAGGCUAGGGCGCACUAGCCAAAUGGAGCUAACAAGUUGGGCAAUUGUUUGUGUCAAAAGAUCUGGGCCAUACUUUCUUGACAAGGGAAACAUGGCAUAAAUUACACAAUAACCAAGGAAGAACAUUUUUGUACACAAUUGUAAAAUUUUUGGGAGCCUAUUUUCUUUCUUAAUGAGUUCUUUCACUGUAAAGUAUCUUAGAUAUUUAUUAGGUGUGCCUAAGGCACCGUCCUUAUGGAAAAUUUUAGUAAGUAAAUCUGAGUCUGGCACCAAAAGGAAAUCUUUAAGCACCUUGCACCGAAAGUGCAUGUCACAAAGAACAUUGUAUAACGAUCAAGUGUUUUGAUUUUUAUUUCGUUAAAUUGUUGUCAUAAUGCUCCUAUUUAUUUUUGUAUAAAAUAUAAGUUAUUUUGGGUUGUUCAACAUGUCAAUACAAUUCAAAUAUUGAUCAUCCUCAGAUAGCUACGUUGUUUCAUAAUGCAGGUUUUGAGGCUCAAUCUCAUGGUCCAGCACAAAAGUAGAACCUUUAAAAGCGUCAAAGUUGGUGAGCCAUACAUCUUUCAGAAGAUGUUACUUAGACAUUAAGUUCUUUCAGUUUUAUGGUAUGGCCGCGGCCUUGUCCCGGUUGGAUUAGAAAAUAACUCCUCGCAACUCCGAUCCGUUGAAUGAGAUGUCACUAGCUUCUUAUGUAUUGUGAUUGGUUUCUGGUUCCAACUUCAUGAUACAAAUACUGAUAUCUUCUAUGGCCUUUUAUUUAAUAAAUUUACUAUAUUGUCUCGAACUUUGGGAAUUUUCACAAAUUGUGGUAAUUAUAGACUAUUAUGAUAAUCUUAUUCAAAGGUUUCUU